rnacentral:rRNA from 1 species
CCAGACUCCUACGGGAGGCAGCAGUCGGGAAUAUUGCGCAAUGGAGGAAACUCUGACGCAGUGACGCCGCGUAUAGGAAGAAGGUCUUCGGAUUGUAAACUAUUGUCGUUAGGGAAGAGAAAGGACAGUACCUAAGGAGGAAGCUCCGGCUAACUACGUGCCAGCAGCCGCGGUAAUACGUAGGAUGCGAGCGUUAUCCGGAUUUAUUGGGUUUAAAGGGUGCGCAGGCGGCGAGUUAAGUCAGCGGUAAAAUUGCGGGGCUCACCCCCGACAAGCCGUUGAAACUGGCUUGCUAGAGUGGGCGAGAAGUAUGCGGAAUGCGUGGUGUAGCGGUGAAAUGCAUAGAUAUCACGCAGAACUCCGAUUGCGAAGGCAGCAUACCGGCGCCCAACUGACGCUCAGGCACGAAAGCGUGGGUAUCGAACAGGAUUAGAUACCCUUGUA